rfam:Clostridiales bacterium GWB2_37_7 gwb2_scaffold_451, whole genome shotgun sequence.
UCCACCGCGAGGUGGAAUCUGAAGGAAGUCGGCGGCAAAAUUCCGGUCUGAGGAACACGAACUACAUAAGGCUUAAGUCUGUGGGCGAGUUUGCAAAACAAAACAAAGCCCCAUAGCUAUCCGGAACAGGCAAAGUAAAUGUAGCAGAUAUAUGGAAUGAAGGCUUGCGUU